CGGCGCAGCAAAUAUCGCCACGAACCGGUUGAUGCCGGAGCACUGGUCCGGGCUGAAAAUCUUCCACCAGCGCACGGAGCCGUAGGCCAAAAUCAUAGCAACGUAGAGAGGAAUCACCGCCGUUAAAACGGUGUACAGNCAGCUAAUCAUGAUUAAUUAUUCUUCUUACUCUCUAUAUCCCUUCAAAAAGUAAAUUCAAGAGAAGAAGAAGGGCAAAAUGGGGAGAAACGAAGCAAAAACCGUUAAUUAACUA
rnacentral:misc_RNA from 1 species